rnacentral:rRNA from 1 species
GACGAACGCUGGCGGCGUGCUUAACACAUGCAAGUCGAACGGAAAGGCCCUGCUUUUGUGGGGUGCUCGAGUGGCGAACGGGUGAGUAACACGUGAGUAACCUGCCCUUGACUUUGGGAUAACUUCAGGAAACUGGGGCUAAUACCGGAUAGGAGCUCCUGCUGCAUGGUGGGGGUUGGAAAGUUUCGGCGGUUGGGGAUGGACUCGCGGCUUAUCAGCUUGUUGGUGGGGUAGUGGCUUACCAAGGCUUUGACGGGUAGCCGGCCUGAGAGGGUGACCGGCCACAUUGGGACUAAGAUACGGCCCAGACUCCUACGGGAGGCAGCAGUGGGGAAUAUUGCACAAUGGGCGGAAGCCUGAGGCAGCAACGCCGCGUGCGGGAUGACGGCCUUCGGGUUGUAAACCGCUUUCGCCUGUGACGAAGCGUGAGUGACGGUAAUGGGUAAAGAAGCACCGGCUAACUACGUG